CCAGAAUUAGAUAGGAUAAUAUAGGAAAGGGAGAGCCCUGUAAACUGUAAAGAGUUUCACACAUAUAGUUGGCAUUACCAUCAUUGUUGCUAUAUUGUCCUUUUCCAGUCCUGACUAACCCCCUAUUUCAGCUCUUCCUCAUUUCUCGAGCUCUUUUUUCAUAUUUACAGACCAUGCCCCCCUUGUCUCUUGCUUCUUUCGGACCCACUUCCAUGAGGCAGAAAAGCCUGGCCACUGCUCCGUGUGACCCUCUUCUCCCUUCCUCUUACUCAGUUUUCAGGUCAGUCUUUAGUGGCCAUCAAUGAUGACAGCUGGCUGGAGCAACUCAUCAAGGUUGUCUUGGAGAGGAUAAAUUAUUUCAGCGAUGGUGAGGAGAAGACUUUUCUAUAUAAAUUCUUUGGAUUUACCCUGCGGACUUCAAGGAAUAUGAAACUGGUGAAGAUGAUGCUCUUAUCCAUCUUACAAAGUGUCCACGAAGACCUGCAGGAGAGGCAGGGCAUUGCUGUGGCACUCAGUAUCGUGUCCAUGAAACAUCUGAAGAUAGUCCUGGACCAGCUGCAAGUGUACAGUGCUAUCCUCACUGACAAGGGCUCAUCAUUCAUCCUCAAACUAAUGAAGGUGAUGGCAUUCCUGAGAGCUCUGCCAGCCUCCCACACAAAGCCUUCUAAGGCAUCCCCAUCACUCCCAGACUCCCCACUUCUCCACUCCCCACUCCCCACUUGAGGCCUUGUGACUCACCUAUAAAUGCUUCUAUUUCCCUCUGACCAACUGUGAGAAAGUUUCAUCCUCUUCUCCCUUUCCCAUGCUCUCUUAUGCCCAUGCUUCAGGCCCUGGUAUCACCAGCAGCACCAACUUCCUCCCAGCUGUUCACACUUCCACAACCCUAUCUUCCCUUCUGAGCCGUCUAGCCAAUCCAUUCCUCUCUGAACCUCCAUUUCCCCAUCAGGUGAGGAGAAUAAGAUGAAGAGAAGGCAAGUUUCCCCCUUCCUCCUACAGGAACAUCAGCAAAGGGAAUGGGGGCUGGUCUGUAACAUCAUCUACUUAAGCUAUAGCAAGAUUAUUUUAGAGAGCAAGGGAGACAUCUUCACACAUUUAGAUGACAUCCUGGCC
rnacentral:lncRNA from 1 species